CUCCAUUCACCACAGAUGAUAAUGGGUCAGACUUUAGAUUAUUUUCCACUGUCCUGUGGACGAGCUUGUCGCAGAGGCACACCUGACAGAUGAGAGAAAUCUGCCUGCCUGGAACUCGAUCUUCCACUGCAAAAGAGCGGGCACUGAUAGCCCCUCAGCCUGGCUUCCUAAGUUCACAGGUUCAACCAAGACCCUUUGGAAAUGUACCAGAAGGCUUGGCAUCUUUGCUGCUCCAUGAAGAAUUUAGGUUCAGUCAUUGCUCAAGCC
rnacentral:lncRNA from 1 species